AUUUAAGUUUACUAAGUUCUUUCAAUUAUAUUUAUGGGGAGUGUGCCAAUGUAUCAUAGUUAUUUUUCACUAGUUGGCCGUAUCAUAUAUUAGGGAUAUAUCGUUCUUUUGUAAAGUCUGUGUAUGCAGCUGAGUUAGUGGUUCUUAAUGUACAUUUAAGGACUGUAUUCCAUGUUAGAGGCAUAACCCGAUUGUUGACUAUCAAGCAAGGAUAGUACGGGUGGAGCACCUUUCUCUCCAGGUGGUAUUUGAGCGAGGAUUGCUGGAGAUGGACUGUGUCUUCCUGAAUCCAGUAUUUUAGGAUGCGCUUACCGGAGUAAACAAGCAAUCUGCUGCGGAUGUCCUAUGGAGGAAGGUUAUUUGAAGCCUUGCCAGAGGUGCCUUCCGAGAUUUGGAAGCUUUGCAAGGGUUCAUUUCAUGAACACCCAUAUCUAAGGUUAAUGUUCACUGGUUCUUGCUUAGACAGCAAUUUCAAGCAAAUUUUGGAGUGAGUUGCCUCUCACCAUAGCUUGGCGACAUCUCUUGCAUCAACAUUUGGCGAUUCCGCUGUAAAUAUAAAACCUUCGUGGAUACUGUUGCUCAACACUUAACAGCAACCCGAUACAUAUUUCAGAUGACACGCACCAGCGAUAUUGAAUCCUUUUGCUUGCUGCUUGCUGUACUUACAUUCAGAUAGGCACACUCCGACGUUAUUGAAUCAUAAAUAAACCCCAGUCGUUAGCAUUAAAUCUCUUGCUCCUGCUAUAGUUUUGGGGUAUACGGUAUAAUCUCUGCUAAUUAUUUUCGUAAAGUUUAUUUCACCGUCAUUUGUUUGAAAGUUAGUCUCAUAAUUUGUAAGUAUCCAUCUUUUAAGUUGGUUUCAGUAA